rnacentral:lncRNA from 1 species
UCACAAAAACCAAUUUCAGAUAAACUCAGAUACACAGUUCAUGUAAACCGAAUGUAGACUUAAAUUUAGCCAACACAUAAAAAGUCAUAGGAGUUAUAAAAAUGAUAUUUUAUUGAAGUCAUAAAAUUUCAUCCAUGUCCCUACAAAGGACAUGAACUCACCUUUUUUAUGGCUGCAUAGUAUUCCAUGGUGUAUAUGUGCCACAUUUUCUUAAUCCAAUCUAUCAUUGUUGGACAUUUGGGUUGGUUCCAAGUCUUUGCUAUUGUGAAUAGUGCCACAAUAAACAAACGUGCACGUGUGUCUUUAUAGCAGCAUGAUUUAUAGUCCUUUGGGUAUAUACCCGGUAAUGGGAUGGCUGGGUCAAAUGGUAUUUCUAGUUCUAGAUCCCUGAGGAAUUGCCACACUGACUUCCACAAUGGUUGAACUAGUUUACAGUCCCACCAACAGCGUAAAAGUGUUCCUAUUUCUCCACAUCCUCUCCAGCACCUGUUGUUUCCUGACUUUUUAAUGACUGCCAUUCUAACUGGCCAGUUCUAAGAAGCAAAUUAAGACAAGUUUGUUAGAAAUGAAUAU